UGUGGGAGCUGGGCUUGCCCGCGAUGCAGGCACCUCGGUCUUUCAGUUAAACCGAAGUGAUGCCAUCGCAGGCAAGCCAGCUCCCACA
rnacentral:misc_RNA from 1 species